rnacentral:rRNA from 1 species
GAUGAACGCCGGCGGCGUGCUUAACACAUGCAAGUCGAACGAGAAGUGGAGACGGAAACCUUCGGGCGGAAGACUUUACUUCGAGUGGCGGACGGGUGAGUAACGCGUGGGUAACCUGCCUCAUACAGGGGGAUAACAGUUGGAAACGACUGUUAAUACCGCAUAAGACCACAGCACCGCAUGGUGCGGGGGUAAAAACUCCGGUGGUAUGAGAUGGACCCGCGUUCGAUUAGCCAGUUGGCGGGGUAACGGCCCACCAAAGCGACGAUCGAUAGCCGAUCUGAGAGGAUGACCGGCCACAUUGGGACUGAGACACGGCCCAAACUCCUACGGGAGGCAGCAGUGGGGAAUAUUGCACAAUGGGGGAAACCCUGAUGCAGCGACGCCGCGUGAGUGAAGAAGUAUUUCGGUAUGUAAAGCUCUAUCAGCAGGGAAGAAAAUGACAGUACCUGAGUAAGAAGCCCCGGCUAACUACGUG